GCCUCUGCACUGGGAUUCCUCCAGCCCCAGCAAGUCCCUCAGGUGGUCCCAGCCUCUGUGUCCGCCUCUGCUCUCCCAGAGCGCCUCAGGCAGAGCAGCCAGGAUGGGGACCAGGCCCGCCUUACCGGGAAUGAGCCUGUCACCUGCUCCUCCCACCCCGCAGCAGAUCAUGCAACCAGCAAGGCUCUGGUCCAAGUAGGAACGGAUGGUAAACUGGGCAGUGAUGAUGGUGGAGAUGGUGGUGGUGGUGAUGAUGAUGACAAUGAUAAUGAUGAUGGUGAUGGCAGUGGUGGUAGUGGUGAUGGUGCUGGUGGUGCUGGUGAUAUGAUGAUGGCAGUGAUGGUAGUGAUAAUAGUGAUGAUAAUGUGAUGGUAGUGAUGGUGGUGGCAGUAAUAGUGAUGGUGAUGGUGGCAGAGAGGGUGGUGACAGUGAUGUCAGUGGUAAUGGUGGUGGUGAUGGUAAUGGUGAUGGUGGUGGUGGUGAUGAUGGUGGUGAUAGUGGUAGUGAUGGUGUGGUGGAAAUGAUGGCUGUGAUCGUGAUGAUGAUGGUAGUGAUGGUUACAAUGAUAGUGGUGGUAGUGGUGGUGAUGGCAAUGAUGGUAUUGAUGGUGAUGGUGGUGGUGGUGGUAGUGAUGGUGGUGGUGGUAGAUGGUGGCAGUGAAGACGGUGGUAAUGGUAGAUGGUGGCAGUGAAGAUGGUGGUAAUGAUGGUAAUGGUGAUAGUGGUGCUGGUGGUGAUGGUGAUGGUGGUGGUGGUGGUAGUGAUGGUGAUGAUGAUGGUGAUAGUGAUGGUGGUGGUGGUGGUGGUGCUGUUAGUGGUGGUGGUGGUGUUGCUGGUGGUGUUGGUGAUGGUGGUGGUGGUGGUGGUGAUGGUCAUGGUGGUGGUGGUGGUGGUGGUGGUGAUGGUGGUGGUGGUGGUGGUCAUGGUGAUGGUGGUGAUAGAGCCAAGAGGCUCUUGGGACCAUAUGGCUGGGACUGAAGGCAGUGUAGACACAGCUGACCCUUCAUGAGGGCUCUGCCUGGCUCUAGUAGCUUCUAUCCUGAAAGCCUGGUGAGUGUCUGAAGGAUGGUCCCCUUGUUAAGUGAGGGCAGGCUUGUGGAUUUCAGGGGCCCCAGAGGCCUGGGAGGACAUUUAGUGGGGGCGGGGUCCUCACCAAAGACUCAAUGGGCUCUGGAGUUCCUGUGUCUCCUGAGACCUGCGCCUGACGUCACCCUCUGGAUGGCCUCUGGCCUCUACCUGGGCUGGGGUGUCCCAGGAACAGAGAAGGACCCAACUAUUGUUGGGGACCCCAGCACUCUCUGUCCAACCGAGCCUGGGGCCUGGGUGGCAAAUGUGGGCAUUGCGAGAGUGGCAGGACUGGGAGGAGGCCCAAGCCCUGGGUAGGGCCUGGGGGGUGCCAGGUCCACACCUCCGAGGUGGUGAGUGGUGCAGACAGCUGGUGCCUGUGGGUCCCUAACAAAUGCAGCUGAGAAGUGGGCCCUCAGAUGUCCACGUGGCAUAACCCUGCUGUGACUGAAGCCGCCAGCCUGGAUUGAACAUUCUUCAAGAUUUCUGCCUUCAUUUAACAAGCUCCACUAGACGUGGCCUCUGGAGCACAGGUCUCUCCCAAACAUCACCAAAAUGACCGAAGAGGAAGAGGGAGGUGCCGUUUGCAGGAAAGAGAGAACGGGAGUGGAGCAGCAGCCACCAGUGAGGGAAGAGGUGGCAAAGUGCUCCAUGGCUGGGGUGCCUAUCUUGGCAGAGUGGAGCAGAUGCAAUGACACCAGCAGCCCAUAGUCCCCAGGCAGGAGAGCAGAGGAGCCUUCCUUGAAAAACUCAAUGGCCAGAGGAAAAAGACCAGCCUCUCAAAAUGAUAGAUUCCCCAUUGCCUGGUCCUCUACAGAAAGGCCCAUCUGCCGACAAGACCACUGCCACCCUCUGCCACCCUCCACCACCCUCCGCCAGGUCACCAGAAUGCCAGGCCUCACUCAUGAUCAGCUGAGCACCAGCAGGCAGGUGAGAAGAGCCUCCAGUGUGGAGCAGGUCAACCAGCAACAGAGCCAGGGAGACCCAUGGAGUCCAGAGAAAACGGUAACAACGGCAGCAGCACCCAGAGACUGGCUCCCAGUGAGUUAAGCCCAGCCGCGACCCUUGGAUGUGCCAGCUGAUUUAAUACUCAUGAUAAACCCAGUAGGUCAGUGCCAGUAUUAUGAGAGAAGUGAGGCACAGAAUGUCACAUCCACCUCCCCAAAGUCAACAGCUAGGAGUGACAGAGCCAGGAUUCUGCCAGGCAGGUUGGCCUCAGAGGCCACACUUCUUAUCCCAAUAAUAAAAGUGAACAAGAACAGGAUGAAGUUAGAGUGAGAGAGCGAGAGUGGUAACACUCAUGCAAUCAGAGAACAAGAGAAAGCUCAAUGGAAACAUGUAUUCACUGACAGGAUUAAAACACAAAACAACAAAAAGAGAGACGGCCAGGCGCGGUGGCUCACGCCUGUAAUCCCAGCACUUUGGGAGGCCAAGGCAGGCAGAUCCCCUGAGCUCAGGAGUUUGAGACCAGCCUGGGCAACAUGGUGAAACCCUGACUCUACUAAAAAUACAAAAAUUAGCUGGGCAUGGUGGGGCAUGCUUGUACUCGGGAGGCUGAGGUGGGAGGAUCACUUGAACCCGGGAGGCAGAGGUUGCAGUGAGUCCAGAUCGCACCACUGCACUCUAGCCUAGGUGAUAGAGUGAGAUCCUAUCUAAAAAAAAAAAAAAAAAAAAAUAGAAGGCAGGAAGGAAAUAUCAGAAAAAUGCAGAAUUGAUCCAGGAGGUCCAAGUUCCAAAAGGAGUCAGAAAGAGAAAGGAGAGAAAAAGGUGGGGGAUCAAUGAUCAAAGAACUAAACUGAGACCAGCGCCCAGAAUGACAAGGCACAGGCCAGACAGCAAGGCUCACCCAAGUCCAGCACAAUGCAAGUGACACGUGUGCAUCACUGUGGAAUUGUAGACCACUGGUGCCAAGGAGUGCCCCAAAAAACUUCCAGAGGGGGAAAAAAUAGUCACAUAUGUCUCUCUCUCUCUUUUUUUUUUAAGGAUAAAGGGAAUUCUUUUUUUUUUUUUUGAGUCAGGGUCUUGCUGUGUUGCCCAGGCUGCAGUGCAGUGGUGUCAUCAUAGCUCACUGCAGCCUCUAACUCCUGGGCUCAAGCGAUCCUCCAACCUCAGCCUCCUGGGUAGCUGGGACUACAAGCAAGCACCACCAUGCCCAGUUAAUUUUUUAAUUUUUUUUGUAUGGAUGGGGGUCUCACUAUGUUGCCCAGGCUGCAGCAGGUUGGUCUCAAACUCCCGGACCCAAGUGAUACUCCCACCUGGGCCUCCAAAAGAGCUGGGAAUACAGGCCUGAGCCAUCAUGCCCAGCCACAUACUGUCUCAUAAAAAGGCAAAGCAACCCCCAAAUGCAGAAGGAGCUGAGAAACCAAAGGAGGAGGCAGACAAAUUCAGCUUGUUGUUAAAGUGUGUUUUAUGGGGGAUCUUAUGAACAGAAGAGUGGUCUUGGACAGCCACAAGACAUAUAGAUCUCCACACCAUAAUUCCCCAGACCCAGAGGUUAUAUACCAUAGGGAAAGGGUACAUGUGCUUCAGAGGGAAUGGGGAGGAAUUUGAUCUAAAGGCAGGACUUACAGUAUAUGCUCUUAUGCAAGAAACAACAGAUAAACUGAAAAUCUCAGAGGCAUUCCUGGAACCAGUGUUAGUCAGAAGUCAGCAUGGUGGAUUAGCUUCCAUGGUAUGUUACUUUAGCCUCCACACAUACCAAGGAUUAGUAGUAAAGAUGGAACUGGACUUCCAGUAACCACACAGAAGCUCAAAGACAGAGUACCUUACAGAUGCUGAGGAAAAGAGACUCCCAACAGCAAAUUCUAUACCCAGCCAAACUAUCUGUCUAGUGUGAGGAAAUACUAAUGACACUGUUAGAUUUGUUAAAUCUCAAAACACUUAUCUCCCAUGCAUCUCUUCUGAAGAAGUAUCUGAAGGAUGCUCCCCUACAAGGAGAAGUCAACCAAGAAAGAGAAGGGGGUGCCAACACAGGUGAGGCAGGAGGGGCCAGCAGGCCUGGAGAGCAGCCAGUCCAGCUGUGGCAGGAAACUGGUUGGCUCCUGCUGAAAGGUAUCCAGGGAAAAUGGCCUUCCUAGAUUACACAAUGCAAGUUUCUGUGUGGAAGCCAUGUCACGAGAGAUUUCUAAAAUGAUUAGAGCAUUUAGGAAGAAUUUGUUGUUGACACAUAGAAAACCAAACAAAGGAAAACCAGGAGGCAAUUUUUAACUCCAGGAAAAACAAAGAAGUUGCUCAGGAAAGAGCAUUUAAUUAUAGUAUAUAACGUUGUUCAGGCAAGAACAAUUCUUAUGUAGUCAUGAUAAUUUAAAUAUGGAAUAUUUUUAAGCUAAAAGUAUUGUGGGGUUUUGUUGUUGUUGUUGUUUUGUUGUUGAGACGGAGUCUCACUCUGUCGCCCAGGCUGGAGUGCAGUGGUGUGAUCUCAGCUCACUGCAAGCUCCACCUCCUGGGUUCACGCCAUUCUCCUGCCUCAGCCUCCUGAGUAGCUGGGACUACAGGCGCAAGCCACCACGCCCGGCUAAUUUUUUGUAUUUUUAGUAGAGACGGGGUUUCACCAUUUUAGCCAGGAUGGUCUCGAUCUCCUGACCUCGUGAUCUGCCCGCCUCAGCCUUUUUUGUUGUUGUUGUUGUUUUUUGGAGACAAGGUCUCACUCUGUCACCCAGGCUGGAGUGCAGUGGUGUGAUCACAGCUCACUGCAUCCUAGACCUCCCAGGCUCAGGCAAUCCUCCCACCUCAGCCUCAUUUGUAGCUGGGACUACAGGUGCAUGCCACCAUGCCCAGCUAAUUUUUUGUAGUUUUGGUAGAAAUGGGGUUUCAUCACAUGGCCCAGGCUAGUCUUAAACUCCUGGGCUCCAGCAAUCUGCUUGCCUUGGCCUCCCAAAGUGCUGGGAUUACAGGCAUGAGCUGCUGCACCCGGCCUAAACUAAAAAUGUUCACAUAGUAUAUAGGGAGGAUGUGGGGCGGGGAAGAGCAAAUGUGUAAUGGAGUGAAAUCCUAAACAAUGCCUAAAAUUAAUAAAUCAAGAAAUAGUAAUAUAAACAUUUUAUUUAGAGAUUUGGAGGUGUACUAGUCUGUUCUCGCACUGUAAUAAAUUACCAAGACUGGGUAAUUUAUAAAGAAAAAGAGGUUUAAUGGACUCACAGUUCCACAUGGCUGGGGAGGCCUCAUAAUCAUGGCGGAAAGUGAAGGAGGAGCAAAGGCGCGUCUUACAUGGUGGCAGGCAAGAGAGCGUGUGCAGGAGAACCGCCUUUUAUAAAACCAUCAGAUCUUGAGAGACUUAUUCACUAUCACGAGAACAGCACAGGAAAAACUCACCCCCAUGAUUCAAUUACCUCCCACUGGGUCCCUCCCAUGACACAUGGGGAUUAUGGGAGCUGCAAUUCAAGAUGAAUUAGGGUGGGGACACAGCCGAAACAUAUCAGGAGGUUCCUGGAAGAAACAGAGUUGAAAGCAGUUAUCUUGCUGAGUGGGGGACUCAGGGCAUGGGCAGGAGACUGCUGAGUUUUGUUUUACGUCUUACUACAUUUGAUUUAUAAAAGACAGAUGUGCAUAUAUCACUUCAAAAAAACAAAAGUGGAUGUGGCUGAUGCCAAAGUGACCUGCCCCAGAAGAGCUGCUAACAGAACAGCAUCCCAGGAGGCUGCAGAAGGCUGAAGAGCAGAGCCCACACCUGCUAUGGGCCACAAGAGGCCCUGGAUGCCAUGGAGGCCGCAAGGGCCCAGGCGGGACUUGCAGAAUGAGAGUCCUAGGCCCAAGUAUAGAGUCCCUGGUGGGCACAGAGGAGAGACCAGGUCAGUGGGAGGGGUUGUCAGACCCUGUGGAGUGCCCCACCUGUGUGCCAGGCCCAGAACUGGGCUCAACUCUGAUGGUAGCAGGUGGAAAGUAGACUUCACUACUGUGGGAGUGGGGGCAUUCCUGGACACAGGGGGAAACCAGCUCACAGAACAGCCUGGGGUCUUCUUGGAGGAGGCCAUUUUGGCCCAGAUCCUAAAGGAAGACUGGAAGCCUCAGGGGGCAGUGAGAACAGGGACAAGAGAGGGCAGGUCUCAGGACUGACUGAGCAACUCAGACUGACCUGGAUCAAACUGUGGAGCCGGCGAAGGGUUUAGAGGGUUGCUGCAGGACAGUGGUGUCUGCAAAGACGCCUCUGGCUGCUGUCUGGAAAAUAGACAGGGGAGGCUGGGCAGGGGUCUGGGCAGGGGCUGGACAGGGGUGCUGGGCAGGGGCUGGACAGGGGUGCUGGGCAGGGGCUGGACAGGGGUGCUGGGCAGGGGCUGGACAGGGGUGCUGGGCAGGGUCAGUCCAUCUCCAUCCUGCUUUCCUUUUCUUUCUUUUCAACAAAUAUUGAUGGAGCACCUCCUCGGUGCCAGGCGCUGCUGCAGCCUCUAGGAAAUCAACCGUGGAAACACACGGACCCUGCCCUCCCGGCGCCAGUGUUCUGGUGGUCAGGAGGUGAAGAAAACCAGCAAGAACCAGCACAGGAAUCCGACGGUGGCAGCGCCGAGAGAAACAAGCUUGGAGGGGAAGGAGAGCUACAGAGGCUGCAUGGAUGUGAUGGUUGGAGUGGAAGCUGACAUUGUGGGCCAGGAGACCCUGGGAGUACAGGCCAAGAUGAAAAGAGCCUCAAUCCAGAGCGUUCUGUGAAGCAGUCACCACGGCCACCCUGGGCCAUCAGCUUCUGGACUUUUACAACAUAGAAAUUAAAUUUCCAUUGAAUUUGUUGGAGUCAUUGUUCCUUCAGCUCUCUGUUACCUGCACUUACAUCUCUCUGUGAGUCGCGGAGUCUUGCAGUUAAGGUAUUAAUAUUAUUGCGUCUCAAGGUGCCUCAGGUCAGAGGUUCCAAAGGUGAAUGAGGGCACAGCUCUCCGUCUGAGACUCACGGUGGAGAAGCCUCCUCAC
rnacentral:lncRNA from 1 species